rnacentral:rRNA from 1 species
ACACACACAUCCGCCCGGGUACUACGAGCACAGCUUAAAACCCAAAGGACUUGGCGGUGUCUCAGACCCACCUAGAGGAGCCUGUUCUAGAACCGAUAACCCCCGUUAAACCUCACCACUUCUUGCUUUCCCCGCCUAUAUACCGCCGUCGUCAGCUUACCCUGUGAAGGCCUAAUAGUAAGCAAAAUGGGCCCACCCAAAAACGUCAGGUCGAGGUGUAGCGUACGAAGUGGAAAGAAAUGGGCUACAUUUUCUAUACCAAUAGAAUACUACGAAUGAUAUACUGAAAUAUAUAUCUGAAGGUGGAUUUAGUAGUAAAAAGAAAACAGAGAGCUCCUUUGAAUUAGGCUCUGAGACGCGCACACACCGCCCGUCACUCUCCCCCAAUAUACCCAACUAAUACAUAAUAAAAUACAUAAAACCCACGGGGAGGCAAGUCGUAACAUGGUAAGUGUACCGGAAGGUGCACUUGGAAUAAU